AGGGUUUGAUUAUGGCUCAGGAUGAACGCUGGCGGCGUGCUUAACACAUGCAAGUCGAACGAAGCAUUUACGACAGAUUUCUUCGGAUUGAAGUUGUUUAUGACUGAGUGGCGGACGGGUGAGUAACGCGUGAGUAACCUGCCUUGGAGUGGGGAAUAACAGGUGGAAACAUCUGCUAAUACCGCAUGAUGCAGUUGGGUCGCAUGGCUCUGACUGCCAAAGAUUUAUCGCUCUGAGAUGGACUCGCGUCUGAUUAGCUGGUUGGCGGGGUAACGGCCCACCAAGGCGACGAUCCGUAGCCGGACUGAGAGGUUGGCCGGCCACAUUGGGACUGAGACACGGCCCAG
rnacentral:rRNA from 1 species